ACGCUGGCGGCGUGCCUAAUACAUGCAAGUAGAACGCUGAAGAGAGGAGCUUGCUCUUCUUGGAUGAGUUGCGAACGGGUGAGUAACGCGUAGGUAACCUGCCUUGUAGCGGGGGAUAACUAUUGGAAACGAUAGCUAAUACCGCAUAACAAUGGAUGACCCAUGUCAUUUAUUUGAAAGGGGCAAAUGCUCCACUACAAGAUGGACCUGCGUUGUAUUAGCUAGUAGGUGAGGUAACGGCUCACCUAGGCGACGAUACAUAGCCGACCUGAGAGGGUGAUCGGCCACACUGGGACUGAGACACGGCCCAGACUCCUACGGGAGGCAGCAGUAGGGAAUCUUCGGCAAUGGGGGCAACCCUGACCGAGCAACGCCGCGUGAGUGAAGAAGGUUUUCGGAUCGUAAAGCUCUGUUGUAAGUCAAGAACGAGUGUGAGAGUGGAAAGUUCACACUGUGACGGUAGCUUACCAGAAAGGGACGGCUAACUACGUGCCAGCAGCCGCGGUAAUACGUAGGUCCCGAGCGUUGUCCGGAUUUAUUGGGCGUAAAGCGAGCGCAGGCGGUUUGAUAAGUCUGAAGUUAAAGGCUGUGGCUCAACCAUAGUUCGCUUUGGAAACUGUCAAACUUGAGUGCAGAAGGGGAGAGUGGAAUUCCAUGUGUAGCGGUGAAAUGCGUAGAUAUAUGGAGGAACACCGGUGGCGAAAGCGGCUCUCUGGUCUGUAACUGACGCUGAGGCUCGAAAGCGUGGGGAGCGAACAGGAUUAGAUACCCUGGUAGUCCACCCCGUAAACGAUGAGUGCUAGGUGUUGGAUCCUUUCCGGGAUUCAGUGCCGCAGCUACGCAUUAAGCACCUCCGCCUGGGGAGAACGACCGCAAGGUUGAAACUCAAAGGAAUUGACGGGGGCCCGCA
rnacentral:rRNA from 1 species